UACGGAGGGUGCGAGCGUUGUCCGGAAUCACUGGGCGUAAAGGGUGCGUAGGUGGUGGGGUAAGUCGGAUGUGAAAUCCCGGGGCUCAACCCCGGAACUGCAUUCGAAACUGCCUUGCUCGAGUACUGGAGAGGAGACUGGAAUUUACGGUGUAGCAGUGAAAUGCGUAGAUAUCGUAAGGAAGACCAGUGGCGAAGGCGAGUCUCUGGACAGUUACUGACACUGAGGCACGAAGGCCAGGGGAGCAAACGGG
rnacentral:rRNA from 1 species